ensembl:miRNA
CAGGAAGAGGAGGAAGCCCUGGAGGGGCUGGAGGUGAUGGAUGUUUUCCUCCGGUUCUCAGGGCUCCACCUUUUCCGGGC